rnacentral:rRNA from 1 species
GACGAACGCUGGCGGCGUGCUUAACACAUGCAAGUCGAACGGAAAGGCCCUGCUUUUGUGGGGUGCUCGAGUGGCGAACGGGUGAGUAACACGUGAGUAACCUGCCCUUGACUUUGGGAUAACUUCAGGAAACUGGGGCUAAUACCGGAUAGGAGCUCCUGCUGCAUGGUGGGGGUUGGAAAGUUUCGGCGGUUGGGGAUGGACUCGCGGCUUAUCAGCUUGUUGGUGGGGUAGUGGCUUACCAAGGCUUUGACGGGUAGCCGGCCUGAGAGGGUGACCGGCCACAUUGGGACUGAGAUACGGCCCAGACUCCUACGGGAGGCAGCAGUGGGGAAUAUUGCACAAUGGGCGGAAGCCUGUUGCAGCAACGCCGCGUGCGGGAUGACGGCCUUCGGGUUGUAAACCGCUUUCGCCUGUGACGAAGCGUGAGUGACGGUAAUAGGUAAAGAAGCACCGGCUAACUACGUG